AGAGUUUGAUCAUGGCUCAGAACGAACGCUGGCGGCGUGCUUAACACAUGCAAGUCGAGUGCGCGCCUGUAGCAAUACAGGUGGCGCACGGCGCACGGGUGCGUAACACGUGGGUAACCUGCCCUUUGGUGGGGAAUAACUCCGCGAAAGCGAAGCUAAUUCCGCAUAAGAUCCGCAAGGAUGAAAGCCGAAAGGCGCCGAUGGAGGGGCCCGCGCACGAUUAGCUAGUUGGUAGGGUAAUGGCCUACCAAGGCUUUGAUCGUUAGCUGGUCUGAGAGGAUGGCCAGCCACACUGGAACUGAGACACGGUCCAGACUCCUACGGGAGGCAGCAGUGGGGAAUCUUGCACAAUGGGCGAAAGCCUGAUGCAGCGACGCCGCGUGGGGGAUGAAGCUUUUCGGAGUGUAAACCCCUUUCGAUCCGGACGAAUGCCCGCAAGGGAUUGACGGUACGGAUAUAAGAAGCCCCGGCUAACUACGUGCCAGCAGCCGCGGUAAUACGUAGGGGGCCAGCGUUGUUCGGAAUUACUGGGUGUAAAGGGUUCGUAGGCGGUGCGGCAAGUUGGGAGUGAAAUCUCUGGGCUUAACCCAGAGGCUGCUUCCAAAACUGCCGUGCUUGAGUGUGAGAGAGGCUCGUGGAAUUGCAGGUGUAGCGGUGAAAUGCGUAGAUAUCUGCAGGAACACCCGUGGCGAAAGCGGCGAGCUGGAUCACUACUGACGCUGAGGAACGAAAGCUAGGGGAGCAAACAGGAUUAGAUACCCUCGUAGUCC
rnacentral:rRNA from 1 species